UUCAUAUGUAGUAUAAAUUGUCACAUAGAACUAAUUUUUGUUUCUGAAGCUGAAGUGAUGUUUUCCAAGGGCCUAACCUUGUGUGACUCCUUUGUCUUCUAGCUUUCUCUGUUAGUCUGUGUCUGCUAUGUCUCAGAGAGAUCCAGGCCAAUUUUCCCUAGGAACUUCCUUCGCCUUACAUACAAUCCAUGAUUUCUCAUAAUUUCUAGUAUCUGUGGAAAACGCUCCCUUCUCUAAGUAAUCCUUUCUGUCAUUUAUUAACAUGGAACCAAUUUGAGCUGUUGGGUCCAAGCCUAUGGAGUUCAAGUUUUAAGGGUUGGAUUUUGACUAUCUUCAAAGCUUGAGACCUAUAAAAUGAAGCCAUUUGAAGGAGCAGAUGAACACAGCUGCGAGCACACACUAUGGGGGAUGGGAUCUUGAGCUCUAGAGAAGAGUUGAAGAUAAGGAGAGCAGAAGUAUCUGUCAGAUCAAGCAGACAGACGGGGAGCACUUGUUGGAAUAUACAUGAUUUCAAGAGGAAUAAUGUUUGCAGUCUUGAGUUUAAAGUCCAGAAGUAGUCCUCAGAGGUCACGUAGGUCAACCACCUCAUUUUACAGAUCAUUACAAUUGCUUGUCAGCCCUGCCCUGAGUUUACAUUGCUGCCCACUGACCUUCAGGGACAAAGCCAGAUGGAUCUCUUUAAAUUCGUGCUUUCAGUGAUUUAAACACCUACUGAUCCUUCACAGUGUGCUCUGUGUUCUGAGUGGUUUUGAGCCCUGAGAUAUUUGUCACAAGGGAAACUCUUUUUUAAAAAAACCACAGAAGCCAGUCAGAUGGAACCCCGCUUUGAACUCGAACAGUCUUGUCCUUUGCUAAAAUUUGGUUUU